rnacentral:rRNA from 1 species
UACGUAGGGGGCAAGCGUUGUCCGGAUUUAUUGGGCGUAAAGAGCGUGUAGGCGGUCAGGUAGGUCCGUUGUGAAAACUCGAGGCUCAACCUCGAGACGCCGAUGGAAACCAUCUGACUAGAGUCCGGAAGAGGAGAGUGGAAUUCCUGGUGUAGCGGUGAAAUGCGCAGAUAUCAGGAAGAACACCCGUGGCUAAGGCGGCUCUCUAGUACGGUACUGACGCUGAGACGCGAAAGCGUGGGGAACGAACAGG